GACGAACCGAGCGAACGUUGUUCGGAAUCACUGGGCUUAAAGGGCGCGUAGGCGGGUGCUCAAGUCCGGGGUGAAAUCCUCCAGCUCAACUGGAGAACUGCCUCGGAUACUGGGUGUCUCGAGGGUGGUAGGGGUAUGCGGAACUAUCGGUGGAGCGGCGAAAUGCGUUGAUAUCGAUAGGAACUCCGGUGGCGAAGGCGGCAUACUGGACCACAUCUGACGCUGAGGCGCGAAAGCCAGGGGAGCAAACGGG
rnacentral:rRNA from 1 species